rnacentral:rRNA from 1 species
GCCGGAGGAAGUGGGGAUGAUGUCAAGUCAGCAUGGCCUUUAUAUCCUGGGCUACACACACGCUACAAUGGCCAACACAAUAGGUUGCUAAGCCGCGAGGUGGCGCCAAUCCAUAAAGUUGGUCUCAGUUCAGAUUGUAGGCUGCAACCCGCCUGCAUGAAGAUGGAGUUGCUAGUAACCGCAGGUCAGCUAUACUGCGGUGAAUACGUUCCCGGGGCUU